CAUAGCAGGGGGUUGAAACUAGAUGAUCGUGAUGGUCCUUUUCAACCCAGGCAUUCUAUGAUUCUAUGAUCCACAUGGUAAGGCAUUAUGGGAUAUGUAGUUCAAGGCUUCCUGGGGCCUGCAGCUCCUUGUUGUCAGGACAGGUGCAUCCUCUGGCCACAUUUCAGGGCUCUGCUGUCAAGACUCUGGCCUCUGAGUGUGUGUUUAUUUCUACAGCACAGAAUGUGCUUUGCACAGAGUAAAAGACAGCGUUUGUUUCUUUUUCGAGUUUGCAGUCACCCAUAAAAGCAGGUGCUUUGCACUGAGCCUAGGGUUUAUGAGCCUCUGCUGCCAGCCGAGCUCUGAUGCUCCGCUUGGUGCCACUUGCAGCACUACACUCAGCAGGCCCUGGGGAACGGUGCAGAUGAUGGAGCACAUUUCACUGAGUUUCUGUUUCUAAAAAAUGUUACACUAGGCAAAGUAGUUGGACCUGAAUGAAAGUGGCAGAUCUAAUUUUAGACAGUACCUAUGAAUGAAACUUGAAACGAGCUGUUCAGGAAAUACCUUCCUCUGCGCCAGUGCCAGGGAGAGUAUGUGAUUUAAUGCUAAAUUAGCCAGUGCCUAUGAACAGGUUACUGCAAGAAUAUUUUCCCUUACUUUAACUAAAUUAUUUUUUAAAAAAUGAAGUCGUAAUUUCUACAUAUAUGCCCAUGUCCGCUUGCAAAAGCUGCAGAUCUUCCACCUCUGGGGAGUGAGUGCCUCCUCUGCUUCAGGGCCAUAUGUCACCCCUUGAAGGCUGUUUGUCACUGUGGCCCCGCACUGAAGAGCUCUUUUCUUCGAUCUGGUGUCUGGGGAUGUCCAGAAGUGAACGGUAAAUAUGAGAGGUCCUUGAGCAAACUGAAAGCCUAUCCCAGGGCUCUUGCCCAGACGAGCAGCUACAUCUCUUUCAUAUGUGCUUUGUUAUCUAUUGACCAAACAUUCUUCUUUUCUUAAGAAAUACAGAAGGGAAUACUGCCCCUCCAGAUACCGAGCAGGCAUCUCGUCCUUGUCUCUCAGGCCUUUUAUCACACAGCUUUUCAUGUCCAUAAUUUGGGACCCUGGAGACCUGAAGGUUUAGCUGAGAAAUAAAUCAGCAAACAAGCUCUGUACCUUCCUGCACAGUUUUUGCAGCCAACAACCGAGAUACAGGCGCCUUUCUGCAUAAGUGAGCUAGGCACAGCAAGCACAGCACUCACAGCACUGGAUCAAAGAAUAAUUUACAGAUAAUCCGAGUCUUGGGUCAAAUCCAUCGUUAACUAACCAAACCUCCAUCAGCCCUGUGUUUUAUGAAGUUUCCACGUGGAAAGGCUUUAAUGAGUUCCUGUUCAUGACAAAACUUCCUAUGUUGGAUGCAGUCCUAAAGCUCAUGCCAGUGCUGGCGUAGCAUGGGCUGGUGCUGCUAGACCCGGACACCUGGAGCUGUGCUGUGUAGACGCUGGGUCAUCUCAAUGUCUUCCAAUAAAGCCAGGGAGUAUUGGCAGAUGCAUGACCCAAGAUGAGCAUGAAGAUAGAGCAGUAUACCUACUGGAGCAUCUUCACACUGCGGUCUGAGGGCAGGUGAACCCCAGCUUUUACCCUAGGGACAUUCGAGCCAGGGCAGAGAUGAACACUGUAAAAUGCUCAAUAGAGAAAAUAUGUUUAUGGGAAUGCUGGGGAAUGAGGGGAUCAGUAAAACAUUUUUAUGUGGUUGUGAUUUCUACAACAAAUUCUUAGUGUAUGCAAAAAGCAGCUCUGUUGGUCAGUGUGCUGACCACCAAGCCCACCUCCUCGACUGUAAGGGGAGGCCAGAGGAAACAACAGGGAAUUGUAAUGCAAUUAGUGCUGCUGCUCAGCUGUAAGUUCAGCUGCUCAACUCUUGUCUGCAUUGCAUGAAUGUAAUGCUGUAGCUGUAACAUGUUUGUGUAUCCCAUUUAAAAAGUUACAGCAUCAAAUGCAGCAGUGAUUAGUUCACAUGAUGGCCUCUGUUCUCCAAGCAAACAAUGAAAUCAGUUAACCAGUAAAUGAGUUUCAGGCCUUCAUAAUACUGCUUAAGUCUAGGAAGUUGUCUCAGCCUCUGGCAGAGUCACCUUGGCUUGUCUGCGUGAGAGCAUGCUGUGCCCUUCUGCUUUUCCAGCAUCCUUCUGGCUUUGUGGCUCAUCCCCCAGUCACGAUCUAUUUCAAAUCAGCAAUUCAUAGACAGUAAAACUGUCUGUUUACAGUACAGUGAGAGAGAGAGCAGGUAUGCUGCCUGAGCUUAGGUAGUAAGUGCCUGCCUACUGCGUAUUCACCCUUGAUUUAUUGCUUCAAGUCUCAUCUCAGCAUAUAUAUGGAAAGCUUCAUUGCCAAAACAGUUCAGGCCCCCUUAAAAAGAUGAUGGGAUUCUUAGAAAUAUCCAGAAAGAACUUUCCCUUAAUUUGCAAGGAAUAUAUAGUGACUUAAAAUAUUGACUGAGGAGGAAGGAAGCAGUGAACCUGCCAGGCUAAAUGACAAAACCUUGAAUCCAUGUCAGCAGCACGAAGUGAACUCAGGUAGUCUAUGAGACUGGUAAAAAAGUAGGUACUUGCACAAAACCUUGGUCCUGUUGAAGGCACAGGAGUUUAUUAAUGAAUGUCAGUGCAGCAAAGGUUUCAUUUGGGUUCUUCCUCUUCUACUGUCCAAACCAGACCCAUAUUGCUGUUUAUCUGCCAUCUGAACAUCUGAUCCUGCGAGAGCUUAAGCAGCUCCUAGGGUGAGCUGGCCUUGCUUCACAGCCAUGUGAGAGCUGGGCAGUUGGAAGCUUCCAGCCCUUUGUAGCUCUUAGUGCAUCCAUCAGACUGAACCCAGUUGCUUCGCUGAAUGCAUUUUAAAUACUAACAUUUAAACUGGGAUUUUCAGAAGUCUGUAGCAGAGGCAUGUCAGUAAUGCCCAGUCUUGGAUGGACCAGUGUGCAUCAGUCCCAUGACUGCCUUUUAGAAUCUUAUCUCUGCACUUUUCUUAUGCUAACUAAAAACAAACUGCAUGUCUUGGGAUUUGUUCAGAACUGCUGGAUACUCAUAAAAUACACAACUGCCUCGAGCUGUCACUUCUCAUCCUGUCCGUAACACAAUUCUGAGAAAUAACACCUUUCAACAACAAACAAACCUGCCUAAAUAAGACAAAAGUCUUGUUGCUAGGAAUCCAGCUUUCCACUGGCGGCACUUCUGGUCAAUACUGGAAAUUUUAAAUAUCUGAUUAAACAUCUCUGGAAUUUCUGGGAAUACAGAGAUGCUGCAUGGGCAAGAUCUUCAGAAAGUUCUCAACAACAUAGCUCCUGUCGGGGCUUAAAGGACCCCUCCAAGUAAUCCAUUUCCCUCAUUUCCUGAUGUUGUUCCUCACAUUCCCUGACCUAGCUCCUCAAAUGACUUAAGCUCUCCUUUGCAAAAUGCAUAGGCACAAAUAAACCACAUAUAUGAGAAAGGAAUGUUCCUCUGUCCCACAAAACAAAUUAAAUGCUUUGGUCCACAAUCACUCCUGGGGUAGCUCCUGUGAAUUCAGACGAAACGCAUGAAUUAAGUUUAUUAAAGCAGCGUUUCUGAUAGGGAUUGGGAAUAGCAGUCCAAUGAGGUUUUGCAAUAGUAAAAUGGUUGUUUAUUAGUGAUGAGUGAAUCACAAAACUUCUGGCAUGUGUGUUGAUCUUAGAAAAAGAACUGAAGAAGUUUGAAACCCGAUCAGGUCUCCCUGAAUCAGUAUGUCAGCAAAACUGCCUGGAAGUAAGUCCAAAUCAGGAUUCUCAUUCAAACAUACUUAAAUGUUCAGAUUUAUAAGGCUGGAUAUAGUCAUAUCCCAGCAAGUGCUAAGAAAUUAGGGAUGGUAAAUUAAACUGCUGAAGAAACAAGAAGAAACUCGUUCCUAAAUUUUAUACCAUUGUGAUCUUUUUGAGAUAGUCACACGCAUCCCAUAGCCGUGCCAGAGCUGCAGAGAGGGAUAUAAAAGCCAGGGAAACAAAAUUAGUUCCCUAUUCAGACUUACUAAAUAAACAGUGCAGGUUAUUUCCAAACUUUUGUUUUGUUUUCUUCUUAAACGCUUUGUCAAACCACAAGUGGCUUUUCAGAUGUCUCUGUAUAUAAAUAAGCUUUGGGGCUGGAGUAGCAUGAUUUUAUUUAGAUCUUGCAAGAACAUUUUUGAGAUAGAUACUCUCAUCAUGUGCUGGGCCGCAUACUUUCUCCUGAGUAGCACGAAGCCAGAGAUCCUCCUGCUAUGGCCGGUGAGCUGGCAGCUCUCACAGCUCUGACCUCGGAACUUGAGCUUCUUAGUUGACACCAAAGGAUCUGCAGAUACAGCUCAGGAAACGUGGCCAUCAUUCAGUUGGUUUUGUCCACGGGCAUCACAGUGUCCCUUGCACAUACAUGAUCCAUGAGAUGAUCUCCAUGAAGGAAUGUGCAGACUGAUUUCUCAGAAGGACACCCACAUGAUCACCGUGGUGCUCACAGAAGCCUUUGUUGGGAAGAAGCUCACCCAGCCUGGCAAAGGGAGCAGGAGGGAGAGAAGCCCAUGUGAGGCUGUUGGGGUAUUCCCGGAUCCUCUGUGUGUUCACUGAUUCAUCCUCUCCAUUGCUGAGACACCUAAAUGCUUCCAAGGGAAGGCAAGAAACCAGAAAGCAAGAGGGCCCAACCUCUACGGGCUUUGUCCCUGGAGAGCCUGAAAGGACACACUGCUUCAGAGCUGCUUCCCAAGGCUGGUGUGCAGGAUGGUGUGCAGAACUUCCAGAGGAACAUCUGGAACUCUCCAUGGACCAGCCCAGCCAGCAAAAGCUUACUGAAGAAGAUAAGGGAGAAUUUCCUUUUGUUUCCCUCUGCUAGCUCAUAGCUUUGACCUUCCUCUCUCUAUUCAUUGCUGGAUUUUGUUUCAUAGCAUUGUUGCCCUUGUGGACAAUGGUGCGCAGUUUGCACAGCAGACAUAUGGGGCUCAGAGCAGCCCAACUUCCCACCCAUCUACCCACUCCUCCAGGGCAGUUUCAUUGCCUGCACCAAGCACCCAGGAGCACAGCUGGCUGAUGCCACUGCCAGCAUCCAGGCGGACUCUUGUGAUCCCAGCCACGGCCAGCAGACUGCACGUAGAUUGAUUUCACUCUCAUUUCUGCAGCUCGGGCCAACUGGGAAUGCAAACCGCACUGACCAAGCAGAGUUGGGGAAGUUGCCAGCAAAUGCAGAAAAAGGAAAGGAAGGAAGAUGUGGAAAGCAUGAGGUCUGGGGCUAAAUUUAGCUGCCAGCAAGUCUUGUACAAUUCAGCUGACUUCAACAGAGUCACCCAGAAGGGCACAGCUGGUCUGUUUGCAUGUGUUGUGUGAUGCUGUGGAGCCCCCUGGAUGGAAGGUACUACAGAGGUUGGAGAGGUGGCUAACACGUGUGAGGGUCACGGUGCUUAGUGCUGAAGAGGAUCAGACUGUUUUGGAAGACGCUGUGUGGGGGCCUGGCUCAAAAACCAGGAGUCUGAUGUUGAAGAAGUGCAGUGGACUGAGGAAUGGUGCUUCUGCUCUUCCCAGACACACCUAUAGGUCCCCUCAUGCAAUACCUGCUGCCUACACACCCAGGCUUUCUCCCUAGUAGGAAGGCCACGAGCCCAUAGGAACCGCUGCAGGAAGCCCAGCAUCCAGAGCAGCCACCCUGGGCUGUGCCAGAGUUUCCCGAUGUUACCACUCUGUUCUGAUGAAACACUAUACGUAAAGAUAUAGGCAAAGCAUUAUGCUCACAGCCUUUGCCAACAAGUUAUGUUUUAAUGUAAUUUAACUGUAAUCUCAGAGUGUUUUUGUUAGCUAUAAUUAGUAAAAUAUGUCUGUUUUCUGUGUUCCUUGAAGACGUCUGAACUCCUGCCAGUUCCCUAUAGUUUUCCUGACAUGCAGUGUAACAAGCAGACCACCAAAAUGUAUUUACCAAUAACUGUUUAUUUACAUUCCAUGAAAUCUAAUAACAUUUGCUGCCUUCAUUCGGGAUAAAUGCUGGCCAAAGUGUAAAGCAUAAAAAAAUAAACAUUGACUUAAUUUCUAACCUGGUCCGCAGAAUAGUUUUGCUCAAUUUGCCCUGCCUGUUAGCAUUCUGCAUUCUGCUGUUUGGAAGUUGAACAAAAAUAAGGAGAAGAAGUUGAAAACGUUCUGUAAUGUAUCUUCCUAUUCAGUCCAAAACCUUGCAGGGAUUUCCUGGACAUUUUAUUUCUCAUUUCUGAAGUCUGCACGAGGUUGGUAUUUCAUUUCUUUGUUUUCAUCUCUCACAAGUGUUUGAAACCAUAUUGCAGAGAAAAUGUCCAGGGCAGCAGGCAGCUCGGGCGGCUGGUGCUGCACUGGUGCCAGUGUAAAGGGCUUCUCACAGUCCAAGAGCCAUUGGCUUUGCUGGUGUAAAAAUAAUCAGAAUUAGGUGUGUAUCUUUGUUAAUAUCCAACUGCUCUUGUUCAACAAAAGUGUAACCGAGGGCAGAACUGUCAUCUCAGAUCUUCAGCAGGUUCCUCUCCUCCUGCGUCUGCUUUCAUUUAGAGCAGCACAGGCUUUCUCCAAGCUCAGCAAGCUGAGAUGGUGCAGGGAGGAGAGGUCCCACUCAGCUACGGGCAAGAUCCACAGCUGGCAAAAUCUGAUGCAACCCUGUUAAUUUCAGCGGUGCACAGCUCUCGCCCAACCGGGGAGGGGCUGCUGUUUGUGCACAGCUCUGUAACACCGACCUGCUCACUCAGACAGCAUUAGCAAUGCUCAUCUCUGAGGGCACCACGAGGCCUUUUCAAGGUGGGUUUUGGAGGCAGCCACAGUUCACCUGUGCUGAUCUGAGCGCUGUGCAGCAGAGGAUGGAGAGGCUGAAUGUGACCGUGUCCCCUCUUGGGGCAGGGAAAGCCGGCAAGGCUGCAGCGCACUUCAAGAGCUCAUCCAUUUGGCAGCGGUCCCUGCUGCUCCAUGGCCAUGCCAGCACCCAGAGCCUGCUAUGCCAUGCUGCACAGCCCUGCUGCGUGCCUCCCUCAGGGCACAGCUGCGGUGCAAGCCAAACCCUCAGGAUGAGAUGGACUCAGGAAACUGGGUCAGAGAAACAUCAGCUGGGUUUUGGGAAGGCAGUGCUGUGCCGCAGCAAUUCAUGGAGCACAGGGAAAUGUCACCAGUGUUGUGCGCUCCUAGAGGAGCCCCCAGCACUGCAUGAGGUCAUGGCACUUCUGAAGCUUUGCGAACUAGUUUUUAAAGCCCCUCAGUUCCUGGUUUAACUGGUAAUUUAAGGCAGAGGCCACUUGCAUUUUUCUAUAUGCUUUCAGUUAAGGAACUCCACACAGGGAACAUUAAGAAGUUAAACCUGAGAAUAACAGUUGUUGGGGGAAUGCUGAGCUGCCUCAUUCUAUGGUGAAGACUGUAGGAGACCUUCUCACCUACAAGCCUCCAAACUUAAACUGAGGGUAAAACUUUCCCUGACUUCAAAUGGGAGCAAAACAUGGAAGAUUUUAAAGAACUUUGAAAAAUCUCAGGCUCAAAACACUCUCCCCAAGCAAAAGCACACGUUGAUAUGGGAUAAGGAGUCCAUCUCCCUCGACACCUCCCUCAGAACACAGGAAUGGUGGCAUGUUGCUUUCUGGUACUGACAUAUUGCCCAUAUGUCCAAGCUUCUGACGGAGCUCAAGUGUAGGGAAAAAAUGUAAAUUAUAGGUUGCCUGGUUUUGACUUUCUGGAUUUCUGGGUUCCUGUCAUUUUCCUCAUUCAAUUUUCUGAUCUGUCAGACUUGCAUUGUAGCUGAUGGUUACUGAGUGGAGGAAGGAAGGGGUUCCAGUGUACAAAACCUCUCAGAGAAGGAUUCUGCCCCAUUGACAGCACUGGAUGGGCAUCAUAUGCUGCCAUUGUUCUGGUAGGAUGCUUGGAAAUUGAGCUGUAAAUAGUUCAGUAGAUUGUUUACUGCUAAAAGCAUGUUUCCAAAGGCAGGGGAGCAUUCUGAAAGGAGUGCAUGAAGACACGGUGCGAUGUAGGGGCAUUUACCAUAUGUGCAGGGCCUUGCUGGCUGCCCUGCACAUCACUUCCAGCCCAGCCCUCGGCCUCCAUUUCCAUUUUGCAGGUAGGUUGGUGCUGAACCUCCUAGCACACUCGCUCAGCCCACCAGGGUGCUGAUGUCUGCCACAUGGCACGGCCACCAGCCAGUCACCAGGACUGGUUCUUAAUGCUAAACACUGCUGUAAACCAGACCGGACAAGUUAGAGGCCAAAAAUAUUUUCCAGAGACAAUUGUAAGUACUGGAAAGUGAGAAAUAAAAAGAGAGAAUGAGAAAAUUGGGAUGUGCUGACAGAAAGGAAAACCAGAACAAAGUGCUUUCACCCUGUGUUUACAAAUAGUCUCACAGCGGUUGCUGGGCUUAGUGAAGGCACAACAUGGGAGUGGGAAAGGAAAUCACCUUAGGACUUUUGGACCACAUUGAAAUUGUUGGAGACAAAGGCUGAAAAUAAACAAACAAGACCAGCAAAUAACUGAAAUCCCCAGCAGAAGGAACAUUUCCUCCAAUAUGGGGAGCAAUGGAUGGGACAGAGCACAGUCCCCAAGCUGCUAGUCAUCACUUGCUUUGUUACAAGCUGUGGUUCCUCCUAAUUGAGGCGGGAAAUCUUUCAAGUUGCUCUCCAUAAAAGCAUUAGAAAGCAGUGGUGACAAUGCGGGCCUGCUGAUGGCAGCAGGAGUUUCACCUUAAGUGUUAAACGGGCUCGAGCUUGUGCCCAGGGGUCCACUUGGCUGGCUGUAGCAGCAUUUUAAGACCAUGGAGAUAGGCAGGAGGCCGGGUGCGGGGUGCACUUCUCUGUCAAUAUGGGGUUUGGGUUUAUUGAAAAAGCACUCUUUCCCUGUGAGGUAUCUGCUACAAUGGGAUGAUGCUGCUCAGUUUUCCGCUAGCCAACUCUGUGUACGUGCUGCCUACAUUGCAAGCAUUUCCUCUGUGCCAUGUAUAGAAGGAUUUCAGUGCAUAGACACAUUUUAAGUCAACUUAUUUUGCAGCAUUUUAGCUGAAACUGCAGUAUAUCAAAAAUAAAGUAGCAAAAAACAUGGAGCAGUUUUAAUUUGCUGGAAUAGGUUGGAAUUCAUUGGAAUCCUCUUGUUUCUCUCAGGAUCAGAAUUCCCAGUGGAGAGGCCGAGGUCCUGGGCUAUGGCUGGUGCUGUACCCCCGACCCUCAGGCAGGUCUCCUUGCAAAACGUUCGGCAGAGGAGGUGGAAAAAGUAGGUCAGGCUCAGCUCACAAACGCAGCACUGACAUGUCGCCAAUUCUAAUGAAAUUAGGGAAUGAAUCAGUGUUAAAACCUGGGCAAAGGAGAUCAAAACUUGGUCAAACUCUCAUAGGGAAAGAGCCCAGCUGUAACUGCUGCCUUGUCGUGUCUGAAAAAAACUGUAGAAAUGAAGUAAAAUGGUCCUGUGUGUUUUUAAAGGGAAAAAAGAGUGCAAGCAAGGGGAAAAAACAACCACCUUCAUGCAGCAUUUGGUGAAGAUGCAGUGUGGAAGGCUUUCCUUUUUGGUACCCCCACCCCUGUACUACUCAUGCACCUCUUGUUCCCUCUGCCCAACAGCUUACCUGUUUUUUGCUGAUUUAUUUCACAAUCUAAAGCUUAUUUGCAAAAGAAAAAAAAAAAGCAAAAAUAAAAACAACCUAAAAAACCAUCUGACUCAUCCACACAGGACCUAGUCGUUCAGAUGCAGAGCAGGAUUAGAGAGCUGCAGCCAGAGGAGCAUUUCUAGGCUGUCAUUUCAGCCUUGACCAAAGCUAACUUUUUUUUUUUUUAAAGUACCCCGACAAUUAGUGGUAAAAAGGUCACUAGUAAAAAUGAGUUUUGUGGUUUUGCAACUUUGCAUUAAAAAAACCACCAUGCUUCUGGCACCAUGUCUCCUGGUUGGCAGCCUUUCCGCAGAGUGAAUUGAAUAAGCAUGCUGGCUGAAAAGCCCGUUCAGAUUGGUCCCUCCAGGUCAGGGCUGCAUUAUGCAGCAGGGUGUUUGGGAGUUUGUGUUGCACCUGCCUGAAUACAGCUGGUGGGAGAAUUAAAGUAAGCUGAGUUUUAAUUUUCCCUUAGUCACAGCCUCUCACUCUCUGUCAGCCCUGGAAUAUAUCAUUAGCAAUUAAAAUAUAAUGAAAUCAAAUUGUGAGAUCAUUUCAAAGUUAGUGACCCUAACGUUUAACAGGUUGUGAAUGUUUUUACAAAGGCUGAGGUGGUAGAAAUGUUUUAUUUUGUGAGCUUUAUCCUUCAGAGACCUAAGCAAUAAACAAUAAGGUUGAACUCAAGCUAACUGCGGAUAGCACAAAUUGGCUUUUAUUGGGUGUCCAGCUCAGCUUUUUUCUUUGCACCUUUUAAGAACUCGGACCCAGACUUGAAACAUUAUCAGAGGUGAUGAAAGCAGCUAAAACUGACAGUUUCACUUCAUGUUUUGCAAUGAGAAAUGAUAUCAGAUACAGUCUGGAAAAUAUUUGCCACUGUCUAAUGAUUCAGCAACUCAGGAACUCCCCAACCAGCAUCACUGCAGGCAGAUGCCCUGUUAAAGCUUCCCGGCCCCAUCUGAAGCUCCAUCGAGCUGCAUGGAAGCAGCAACAAGUUGUAUGAGUGCUGAAUUUCAAGCCCAGUUUCUCAUGGAUUUCAUCUUUCUCUCGGUCCUUCCACACUUCCCUGCUGAUCACACAACCCAGCUGCGUUCCUGUGGGGAAGAACCUCAAGUGUAACUGCAUCUAGGAGGUUUCUCAGUGGGAUGAUUGACCAAAAAGUGACUAUGCCAGUAAUCAGCUUGGUUCAUCUUUGGACUGGUUCCAGUCUAGACGUGAAAUUAUGUUUUUUAAAAUGUUGUUACAGAAAUGUAAUCCAUUUUCUGUUCUUCCCGAUGGGUGGGAUGAGUCUGGCAACAUUUUGGUGGAACUCCAGGCCUGUUUGAAAGCAACAGCAAGAGUAAUCUUUUCUUCAAUGAACUAGAGUUCCAUUUCUGCCCUUUCAAAACAGGGUUGUGAUGGGAUCCAGAGCAAGAGAAUUAAGAAAUGUGAGGAAAAUCCUAACCACUGCAGGGUCUGCAUUUCCAAGGACACAGCUGAUCUUUCUCACGUGAUGGCAUGAGCUUAAAAUGAGCUCUGCAGAAAGGUGAGCCUGCAGACUGCUGUGCAAGCCAGGCUUGUCCCAGAUUUAGCAGCAUGUUUAAUCAGACAUUUAAUUUGGUGGUUAUCCCACCAUGGCCUUUGAGAGGCCUGGGUGUGCUCCAGUGGGAUAGGCAUUGAUGUGUGCCUGGGGAUUGGUUUUAUCUUCCCAACAGUAGCCUCUCAUCAUCCUGCAGACACAGUAGCAGCUUGGGAAAAGGGAAAUUGUUAACCCAGUACCACUUGGUGCCACAGCAGCCAAACCAGAGCAGUGCUGGUACCAGGCCACAGGGCUAGGCCGCAAGCUACGGGGCAAGUUGGGGCUCUGCUCCUGGCCCUGCUCGCCUUCAGGAUGCACGCCGAUCUUCUUUCAUCUCUUGGAUUCAAAUCCACCAUAAUAAAUAAAAUUCUUCCUGUCUGAAAGAUACAUUAAUUUUGGUGGUCUCAAAAGUAAUGAAAAUAAAUACUGGGCUUGGCAUGCAGAGCCCCGACUGGAGUGAGGAGCAGAAUGUGUGUACUUGGAGCUGUUUUUACAAGAACAUAAGCUGUGGAAAAAGCUUGGCGUUUAGCUUGCAGGCUCUGCAUGUCUGAGGAGGAGAAGGGAGGUUUGAGAAGUGCAGUCCAACAUCGUCAAAUUGGGGUUUUGGUGGGGAAGCAACAGCUGGGCCAUGCAGGGCAGCCUGGCUGUGCUCCCAGGUGUGGCAGUGCCAUCCCCUGUGGCUUCGGGGCUGUGAUGCCAUAUUGCCACAAAACCAGAGUUAGCUCAACGAAAAGGAUCCACAGCCCCUUUGCUGGUUCAGGUGUGGUGGUGGCCAAGGUAUGGGUGCUGGGAUGCCACAGUGGCCUUACCAGGCCCCAGGACCCACAGAGGAGCUGAGCUGUCCUCUAUCCUGUUGGCAAUUACUACCAUUAUAUUUUAUAUUAAGGCCAUUUGGAUCUUCCAGCUGACAGCACGGUGCUAACCAGAACUGACCCAGCAGCACCUCCCAUCGCAGCCAUGAAAAGGGCUGGGACAGAGCAGGCUGAACCCGAGUGCCAGGGGAUGCGGACUGUGCUGGCUGCUUCUUGCAUCUAUCCUGGCUCUUCUGAGCACAUAAGCAUGCUUCCAGGCCAUGGGUUUAAUGGCUCCGUCACUAAAACAUGAGCCAAACAGGCGUCACUGCUGCUGGUCUGAAAGCAGUGCGGUUCUGAAUGGUGCUGGUUGUUUGAGAAUAGGAGAAUUGCUUGAUGUUACCCAUGCAUAUAUGCCACUGCAAAUAAUACUAUUCAGAAUUUAGACAGAAGCUGCUGCUAAUUCUGGAACCCCUCUGACAUUCUAACAAUUAUUUCUUCCAUUGUCUGAAAUAGACGUGUGCCUUGGGGUUUGUUUGUCUCGCUCUGCAAACUGAGCAAGAUUCUCCAGUGGAACGGACAAGCAGGGAUGGGACUGCACACUGAGUGAUGAAGUACAAAUCUGAGUUUUAAUAAGCUUUGCAAAAAAUAUCAGGCAUCUAAAUGUCAUAGAGUGAGAAAGACAUUUCAAUCCUGAAUUAAUGAGUAGUGUCACAAAGCCAGCAAUAAGGCAGGCACGGAUAUGAAUAUAAAACAGCAUGCAUGUCUUACAAAGAACCAAAUAUCCUAUAACAUUCUGCAGCAUAAAAUUAACAAAAAGCAUAGCUUAUUUACAGAUUUGGUGUCAGGAUCCAGCAUUUCUUUUCCCUGUGGAUGACCAGAAUGAUGCUCCAGGGGUGGACUCCUGGCAGGUGGCACUUUGCUAACAGAGCAAUAUCCAGGGCUGGGUGAGGUGCAGUCCCAUGGCAGCUCCGUGUGCAGGCAGAAGCAAGUGGACUUUGGGCAUGGGGUGCAUUCCUGGAGCCCACGCACUUCCCUCCUCUGGAGAAACCAAUGGAUACCAUGGUGUGCUGGAAACAACAGUGCUUCAUUCAACCUUUCUGGCAGUCCUUUGGGCUGUAUUUCAAUGAGUUGUUAUUUUGAUAAACAGCACGCAUGCCAAGAGCUUGCAAGGUGAAGAAGCGCACGCUCAGCAUUUCCCAGAAGCUGCAGCAUCACAUUUGGAUGCACGGCUCGUGUGAUUUCAUCUCCAGAAGCCGCUUACUUUCAUUAUAAUGUUGCUUUGUGCUGGUUGUGUUUUGAAAAGUUGGCUACUGUGGUGGACCCAACCCAUGUCAGGGUUGAGAAAGGGUCGGGUUGGAUAGAAAACAUCCAGCAACACCAGCUGCAGGGCUGGAGCUCGCUGCCUCCGCUCUUCUCAGCCACAGCGGUGAUGACACAGCGCAGGCUGGGCAGAGGGAAUGGAACGUGCCUGCAGCAGUGUCACUUGUGUCACUCGUGUCACUGUGACCUGGCCACCAUGACGUGUCCCCUGGUGUCACACUGCCACCCUCAUGCAAACACAGCUUUGGUAGGAUAACUUCAGGCAUCAUAAUUCAACACUUCAGCGCAUAAUUUAGCCCCAUUGCUCUGAGUCAGAUGCUCAUGUUUUGUUUUUAGCUUUGGGAAGGAGAAGAAUUAAUCAGCCUGUAAGGGGCUGAUGCGAAAAGAAAACCAAAACUAAAAGAAAUUUUAAUAAAAGCUACAGCAUUAACGAGUACUGAACUAAUGACCUUUGAUAUAUGAAGCAAAUGCUUCAUCCACUAGUCUAUGCAAUGUUUCAUUACCAGCCAUGGGAAUUUACAGGUGUUAAAUUAGCUGCAAGAUAGCUCCCAUAUUGUGACCGUAAUAGAACAUAUUGAAAAAGUUAAUAAAGAAUUGAACAUAGGGGCUGCAGAGUUCAAAUGCGACCUCCUUGCCAGUUCAUUUUGAGGUCUUCACCAGCUGAAUUCCAGCACAGGCAGUGAUUCUGUGUCUGAUUCUCUUUAUUUCUUCUUAAUCCUGAAGGACAGCAUCCACCAGAAGUGCAGCGCUGCUGGCACAGAGGUGGAAGCCAAGAGAGCUGCCACAGAAGCGAUCUUACGCAGCUCUACUCAGGCAUCAGUCUCACAUCCUGCCCUGGAUUUUUCCUUUACCAGUUUUACUACAAUCCACAGAUAGGAAUAAUCAUUUCAUACAGUAAAAGUCUUUUUUCUGAAGCUGUUGAUGCCAAACAGUUGGACAGUUGUAGAGGCUGAAACUUCACCCAUCAUUUCCAGUUAGACAACACAAUCAAAGAACAACGAAUUGCCCAUGAUGCCCAUAAAUGUUACAAUUAUAUUUUGAAGUCACACCCCAGAUUCCUUGUUAUUCACAAAAUCCUGAUAGACAGCACACACAUCGUUGCUCAAAGUCCUUGACUCGGCUCCUUACACAUGGUCUCUCUGCUUCUGUUUGUGCCGAAGUCAUGGCCAAUUGCAGGUGCAUGGGAUUUCUUUGCCUCAUGCCAUGUGCAUGGUGUAGGUUCUGGCCCUCUGAUAAGAACAAUUAUUGCUUCCUCUCCUGGAGAUAAAAUUGUGUUUGAGAAGUACAGUGUAAUACACUCAGGGCAGGAAGGAGAGAUUCAAUGGAGAUUCAAUAAAUAGGAUCCUUAAACUUCACUUUUUUUUUUCUUAAAGCAGGAUUUUGUGUGUUCAGAAAUCCUUUGGUAUCACCAAACUCCCAGAUUAAAUGCUGAAUUUCAUCUAACAGUCUCAACAAUUUAACAAAAUAAAAUCUUUAAUAUACACUAGCAGUACAAAUUACAGGAAAAAAAUCCAAUGUGAGAAGGGGAGUGGAUGGAAUUGCUGUCCAGCUCAGGCAGACCAUGAGAACCAGCAGUUAGCCUGGAGGCAAAGAGAAGAGAGGAAGACAAGCAAGGUGGGCAGAGCAGGCACUCCUGGCUAUUGUUCUCUGCACUUUUUGUUAAAGAACAAGUUAUUCUAAGACUUAGGUUGUUCAAGUAAGAUUGAAUGAAUGGCUUCAACAGUGGCGAAAGUGGUGAUGGAGAGCCCUUGGCUGGGCAAUGCAGGAGGAUAGCUAAAUUAACAAGUAAUUAGUGCUACAUUGGCCAUGGCCAAGGCCACAACUCAAACAAGAGGAGCUGAGGCAGGAGGGAAUGAGCAGUCCUGUCCAUCUGGCUGCAUCCACGGUUGCUGCCUGCAGACAUUCUCCUUGGUGCUACAGGAAAGCUGCAUGUUAUUCUGCAAAUGCAACGUUCGUUUUCCAUAAACAACAGCCAGACAACAAGUUUAAAGCUAAAUUAAACUAUAAGCAUCACGCAACAUCCCCUCUAAAGAACCAAAAACAUAACAGAUGGGAAGAUAUAAUAAAGUAAUUUUAUGACAGUUGCAACAAGCCAAGAAACUAUGGCAGUAAAUAGAAAAUAAAAUUAUAGGAUGCAUGCACCGUUUGCUGUUUCCGUUGGAGCGGGGCUGUACGGCAGAGCCAGCAGGCAGUGCCCCAGUGCCCACGUUGGCUGCAGGAUGCCAUAGUGCAGGCAGACAGCACCGAGCUCAGCACUGCUGGCCCCAGCCCACGUCCAGGCAGGGAGGGGCUGCACGGUGCUUUAUUUCCUGUUGCUCGUGGCUGCCUCACUGACCCCUCUCCUGGUAAAUGAAACACCUCUGGCAGCACAGUGAGUUUGAUUAAAAAACAGGAAAUAUAGGAGGUAAGACAUUUUCAAUAAUGCCUUCAAAACUGGAGCCUGGUCCAAUGGGCCCUAACUCAUCGAUGUCAAAGAAGCUAUCACUGGGUAAGGGAUGUGCGUUCCUCCUCGCUGUGCAAUGAACUCAGUUUUGGAAUGAAUCUCAGUUGUUUUUCUUGAUCUUUCUUUUUCUUUUCAUUAUUUUUUUAAACAAAGGCUCUAUAUGAUUUUCUCUCACUGUGUCUCCUGGGGGGUUGCAUUUUCUCUGCUCUUUCGCACUGAAUCACAGUACGUUACAUUUAUAUGGUACCCGAAGGAUCCCAAAGCAUGCAGAAAUUAUAAGCCAAAUUUCACUCUUGGAAGCAUGAGCUCAGCUCAUACCAAAGUUAAUGGGAGGUGAGCACAGACAUCUAAAGGGAAGAGCUGGCCCAUCAAGACAGAGGACUCCUUUCACCCACUGCCGAAUGCAACUGCCCGCAGGCAGAGCCCAGCUCAGCCCGGCCUGGCCCACAAGGUGCCAAUGGCUGCCAAUGCUGCGGGACAGCUCUGGGUUAGCACCACCUGCAGAUAGGCUCUAGGCUUCCGUGGGCACUGUCACAUCAAUAUGCAACCCUUUGGUUUCUACAGUGAUAAAAUUAAGAGUUCUUCACACUAAGUUUCCGUGUUUCUGUUUUGGAUUGACUUGCACUUUUCAACCUGAAUUGUUUCAUAUAAGGGUUUUUUUUAAGGCCCACGUUGUCAGACAGGGAAGCCUGAAUAAAGCCCCGUAGCUUGUGUGUCAUCACUGUGCUUGCUUCAAAAGCUCUGUACAUCAGAUGAGAGAUUUAUUUUUAAAUUCCCUUUUCCUUUUUUUCUUUCUCUAAAGACAGGUGGUCAGUGGGAUGAUGUCCUCUCUGUUGGCACAAGGCACAGCGUCUGGUGGCACAGGCAUGGAUCACAGGUUCACACCCAGUGUCCAGAGCAGCGAGCAGAGAGGAGAAACUCCCUUCCCAUGCUCUUGUUUUUCUUCAGAUUUGCUAGUGAAGGAUGAAUUUCAUACUGUUCUCAGUGCUUUUUUGGAUAACCCACCCCAAAGAUGCAAUCCAGAUGCACAGCCAAGUGCCUUAAACCUCUGA